CUCCAACCAGUCUCCCAAAUUUAUGUUUUCUUUUUCUUAUUAAUAAUCCCUUGUGUUCAGUAAAUGCUUUGCGUAGGAUGCAUGGGUGUGGUAGCAUUCACUAGGGCAUGGGUAACCUACCAGCAGCCAUAACUCCAAAGAAAAACGACUCUCCCUCUCUCCACAAUUAAUCAACUAAUUAACUUCCAACAGCUACUCCUCUACAGACAAGCUUGAAGCAGCCUCUCCUUUCCUGAUGGAAUUUAGGUGUUGCUGGAUCCCCAUUGGACUCCCCAUGGACCCGGGCCAAGUCUUCCUGAAGCUGAGAGGAAGCCACAGAAUCGGAGG
rnacentral:lncRNA from 1 species